GCUCACCAGAUCAAUAAACGACUGUUUUGCUUGAUUGCAUUGUCUAUGGGUCUUCCUUGGUGGUGAGCAAUGAAUUGGACCCUAACAUUUGGGGGCUCAUCUGCCUCAUCCCCACCACAGAACUCCUUGACAGAAGGGCCAAAGGCACUGCCUUGGACCAGACCUUCAGGAAGAAGGGAGACUCUUGGAGCCAGUCAUUUUUCCUGGACCUGUGCUGGGCUAGAGAAUUUGCUUCGGGAGAGGCUUGCUGGAUUUGCUGAUAUAAACAAUACACAUUUCUGCAGUAACAUGCUCUAAGUCUUUGGAUAGAAUGGGAAAUGGCAGCCCAGUGCAGUGAAUUAACAGGUCCAGUGAGUUGGAAGGCCUUUUAUCUCAAGAAGGCAAACCACUUUGCUUAUCUCUGAUGGUUAGGAGCCACAGGAGUCCUCCUAAGGACAUAACUAUCAUUCCAUACCCCACCAUCCUGCUUCCUCCAGAUUGUAAGUUGGACCCCCAGGGUUUCAGACAGAGGAGGUGGGGGUCUAUAUCAGGAAUAUAUAAAAUGCUUGUAUCUGCACCCAUGCAUUGGGCAUUGCCAUGAGGAUGUGCCCCCUUACUCAUGAGUAAGAAUAAAAACUGCAUCUUUUACCA
rnacentral:lncRNA from 1 species